GCUGGGUACAGUGGCGCAUGCCUGUAAUCCCAGCCAUUCGGGAGGCUGAGGCAGGAGGAUCGUUCAACAGCAAGGCACUGAGCCAUUCCGUGAGACCCUGUCUCUA
rnacentral:sRNA from 1 species